rnacentral:rRNA from 1 species
AGAGUUUGAUCCUGGCUCAGAACGAACGCUGGCGGCAGGCUUAACACAUGCAAGUCGAAGGUGAAGCGGGACUUCGGUCCCGCGGAAACUGGCGCACGGGUGAGUAACGCGUGGGAAAUUACCUAGUGGUUCAGAAUAACCGCGGGAAACUGCGGCUAAUACUGAAUACGCCCUGAGGGGGAAAGAUUUAUCGCCAUUAGAUGUGCCCGCGUCGGAUUAGCUUGUUGGUGAGGUAACGGCUCACCAAGGCGACGAUCCGUAGCUGGUCUGAGAGGAUGAUCAGCCACACUGGGACUGAGACACGGCCCAGACUCCUACGGGAGGCAGCAGUGGGGAAUAUUGGACAAUGGGCGCAAGCCUGAUCCAGCCAUGCCGCGUGAGUGAAGAAGGCCCUAGGGUUGUAAAGCUCUUUCACCGGGGAAGAUAAUGACGGUACCCGGAGAAGAAGCCCCGCUAACU